CAUGAACUCUUUGUACGUGUAAACGAAAUCAUGUGAAGAUGGAUCUCUUGGGAACUACCCUCAAGAAUGCCAUUCUACCUACCUACCCUCAACGCGACGGUACGAAGCAAGGAAACUUUUCCAACACUUAUUCCACCGCUUGAGAAGACAAAAGUGUUAUUUAGCAAGUUUUACAACCGUCUGCGUGACUCUCCCGGUUCAUCUUGGCUGAUUUGCAGUGUUGAUGAUCGGCAAAAGUAGGUCCUUUGUGCUAUUAUUCCAGAGGUGGAGAGGCAGUUUCAAGACAAGUAUCACACCGAGUUGAUGGAAGAGACCAGUUUUGGUGAUCAAGUUUCUACAUGCUCCCUACCUCAGUUUGGUGUGGACUCACUUGCUCCGUUCUUACCUGUGCAAUAUGACCCCUCCAAGUACAUGGGCAUCUUUCAUGCUCGUAUGAUUGUGGUGGUGACUCAGCCAGUUCAUAAGAUUGCUCAGGGCGCGUCGUUACAGAAUAGGUUUGUUCCCAUGCUGUCCGUGGUGAUUGAUAAGCAGCUAGAUCAAGCUGAUAAGCCGAGAUAUCUGCCAGGCAGAAGGGCAGCCAAAAGAAGAGUGGAGUUUCAGGAGGGAUGUAUGAGCCAAAGAACAGUGUUUACAGAUCCAAGUCGACUCUGUGAGCUAUUACGUGGGAGUUUGGAACAUGCACCAGGCAAGCACAUAGGUGAAGAGCUGCUGAGAGUAGGAGGGAUAUAUGCUCAGUCUGGAGGGGACAAACAAGAAAAGAGAGUGUCAAAGAAGUUUGAUCAUAGCGAGUACUCAGGGAUAUUAUGGAGGGAUAAGAGAUGAUAACGGGGAUGGAGUCACUAGACGUCAACGAGGAACAUUUUGAGUAUUGGACUGAGGUAUUUGGACUACUGAAUGAAGAUACUGAGUGCCCAGAAGGACCCCCUUUUUGAUGUGAAGAAGACUGUGACGUGAGCUGCAGUGUAUUUAAGUCGCAUUGAAGAUGAUGUGUUCUUGCUGAGACUCAGUAUUAUUGCUGAGGUUACGUCGGUACAUUACAGCCAUCUCUGUUCUGUUAGAGAUGUGAGAGUCUGCUCUCCGAGGCGAGUGUUCCUGUCACUGGGACUGUUGAAGACUAGUAACCGUGGUUGUCGGUGUUGAUCCAUCAGCUGCGACGUUGGAGGUAUUUUGCCCGGGUUGGUGUCGUUGGCUGUGAUUGUUCUCUAGACAUGAGAUGUUCAAACUGCUUGGGUAUGUUCUCGGUUGCUGAGAGCUGGUCAUUUCUAUUCAUGCACUAGUUGAGAGUUACUUGUAGUUCUUACUUUUUCACGGAAGUCUCUGAAUUUUAGGCUGACUUUAGUCAGGGCUUCUGAUUACCGUCAAGCGCUCCACAUUGAUGAUGGCGGUGUUGCUUGUUCCAAGUGUGCUAUCUAUGGUAGUUGUCGCUGACAGUCUCGUCACGGUAAACUCACGAGGUUGAUGAGUCGGUUUCCAGUCUCGCUCUAUGGUACUCUGUAUAUUGGAUGCCUGUGCCUCAGUUUGUGAUUACUGUUGUUCAGGGAGAUGCUUGUCUUGGACAUCUCGACAUUGAAUCGUGGUGCUUUUAUCGUAUAAGAUGGAAGUCGCGCCACGACUUCAUCUAAGGGGAGGAUGAUGUUAGGGAUCAACGGCUAAGAAAUAGCCGCCUGAUUAGUCACCCGUGAACCGAUAGCGGAGUUCCGUCGGGACCCCGCGGAGACUACGAUGAGAGGCCACCACGUUGGCUCUCAGUGGAACCACGCUAUCAUUAAUAUCGAUAUGCACCGACAAGGGUUACGGCGCAACUCUAGAU
rnacentral:misc_RNA from 1 species